rnacentral:tRNA from 1 species
AGCUGACGUGGCUCAACGGAAGAGCAACUGACUUGUAAUCAGUAGGUUGGGGGUUCGAUUCCCUUCGUCAGCUA